rnacentral:rRNA from 1 species
UACGAAGGGUGCAAGCGUUAAUCGGAAUUACUGGGCGUAAAGCGUGCGUAGAUGGCCUGUUAAGUCGGAUGUGAAAGCCCCGGGCUCAACCUGGGAAUGGCAUCCGAUACUGGUGGGCUAGAGUGCGGUAGAGGAGAGCGGAAUUCCCGGUGUAGCGGUGAAAUGCGUAGAGAUCGGGAGGAACAUCAGUGGCGAAGGCGGCCAUCUGGGACAACACUGACGCUGAGGCACGAAAGCGUGGGGAGCAAACAGG